GAUGAAGAACGUAGUGAAAUGCGAUAAGUAAUGUGAAUUGCAGAAUUCAGUGAAUCAUCGAAUCUUUGAACGCACAUUGCGCCCGCCAGUAUUCUGGCGGGCAUGCCUGUUCGAGCGUCAUUUCAACCAUCAAGCCCCAGGCUUGUGUUGGAGCCCUGCGGCUGCCGCAGCCUCCCAAAACCAGUGGCGGGCUCGCUAUCACACCGAGUGCAGUAGUUUACUCUUCGCUCAGGGCGUGUGGCGGGUGCUAGCCGUAAAACCCCCAACUUCUCAAGGUUGACCUCGGAUCAGGUAGGAAUACCCGCUGAACUUAAGCAUAUCAAUAAGCGAGGA
rnacentral:misc_RNA from 1 species